rnacentral:rRNA from 1 species
GUAGGGGGCAAGCGUUGUCCGGAUUUAUUGGGCGUAAAGCGCGUGUAGGCGGCCAGGCAGGUCCGUUGUGAAAACUGGAGGCUCAACCUCCAGACGUCGAUGGAAACCGCUUGGCUAGAGUCCGGAAGAGGAGAGUGGAAUUCCUGGUGUAGCGGUGAAAUGCUCAGAUAUCAGGAAGAACACCGAUGGCGAAGGCAGCUCUCUGGGACGGUACUGACGCUGAGACGCGAAAGCGUGGGGAGCGAACAGGAUUAGAUACCCUGGUAGUCCACGCCGUAAACGAUGGGUGCUAGGUGUGGGAGGUGUCGACUCCUCCCGUGCCGCAGCUAACGCAUUAAGCACCCCGCCUGGGGAGUACGGCCGCAAGGCUA